rnacentral:rRNA from 1 species
AACGAACGCUGGCGGCAGGCUUAACACAUGCAAGUCGAGCGCCCCGCAAGGGGAGCGGCAGACGGGUGAGUAACGCGUGGGAACAUACCCUUUCCUGCGGAAUAGCUCCGGGAAACUGGGAUUAAUACCGCAUACGCCCUACGGGGGAAAGAUUUAUCGGGGAAGGAUUGGCUUGCGUUGGAUUAGCUAGUUGGUGGGGUAAAGGCCUACCAAGGCGACGAUCCAUAGCUGGUCUGAGAGGAUGAUCAGCCACAUUGGGACUGAGACACGGCCCAAACUCCUACGGGAGGCAGCAGUGGGGAAUAUUGGACAACGGGCGCAAGCCUGAUCCAGCCAUGCCGCGUGAGUGAUGAAGGCCUUAGGGUUGUAAAGCUCUUUCACCGGAGAAGAUAAUGACGGUAUCCGGAGAAGAAGCCCCGGCUAACUUCGUGCCAGCAGCCGCAGUAACAC